rnacentral:rRNA from 1 species
GCUCAAAUUUGUAAUCUGGCUGUCUUCGAUAGUCCGAGUUGUAAUCUAUAGACGUGUUUUCCGUGCUGGACCGUAUCUAAGUCCCUUGGAACAGGGUAUCAAAGAGGGUGACAAUCCCGUGCUUGAUACGACCACCAGUGCUCUGUGAUACACGCUCUACGAGUCGAGUUGUUUGGGAAUGCAGCUCAAAAUGGGUGGUAAAUUCCAUCUAAAGCUAAAUAUUGGCGAGAGACCGAUAGCGAACAAGUACCGUGAGGGAAAGAUGAAAAGCACUUUGGAAAGAGAGUUAAACAGUACGUGAAAUUGUUGAAAGGGAAACGAUUGAAGUCAGUCGUGUUCUUUGGAUUCAGCUAGUUCUUCUAGUCUACUUCCUUUGAACGGGUCAACAUCAGUUUUGUCCGGUGGAUAAAGAUAGUAGGAAUGUAGCUCCCUCGGGAGUGUUAUAGACUAUUAUUGCAUGCACUGGGUGAGACUGAGGACUGCAGCUCGCCUUUUGGCCGACCUUCGGGUACGUUCGAGCUUAGGAUGUUGACAUAAUGGCUUUAAACGACCCGUCUU